GCCCGUCCUGUGGCGGUUCGGAUCGCUUCCGUUUCGAUGAUGGGGGCCGCGGCAGCUUUAUCUGCAACCAGUGCGGCGCCGGUGACGGCCU
rnacentral:tRNA from 1 species